GGGGAAUAUUGGACAAUGGGCGAAAGCCUGAUCCAGCCAUGCCGCGUGAAUGAUGAAGGUCUUAGGAUUGUAAAAUUCUUUCACCGGGGACGAUAAUGACGGUACCCGGAGAAGAAGCCCCGGCUAACUUCGUGCCAGCAGCCGCGGUAAUACGAAGGGGGCUAGCGUUGCUCGGAAUUACUGGGCGUAAAGGGCGCGUAGGCGGAUCGUUAAGUCAGGGGUGAAAUCCCGGGGCUCAACCCCGGAAUUGCCUUUGAUACUGGCGAUCUUGAGUAUGAGAGAGGUAUGUGGAACUCCGAGUGUAGAGGUGAAAUUCGUAGAUAUUCGGAAGAACACCAGUGGCGAAGGCGACAUACUGGCUCAUUACUGACGCUGAGGCGCGAAAGCGUGGGGAGCAAAC
rnacentral:rRNA from 1 species